rnacentral:rRNA from 1 species
GACGAACGCUGGCGGCGUGCCUAAUACAUGCAAGUCGAGCGGACUUUCAAGAAGCUUGCUUUUUGAAAGUUAGCGGCGGACGGGUGAGUAACACGUGGGCAACCUGCCUGCAAGACGGGGAUAACUCCGGGAAACCGGGGCUAAUACCGGAUAAUAUCUUCCUUCGCAUGAAGGAAGGUUGAAAGGCGGCGCAAGCUGCCGCUUGCAGAUGGGCCCGCGGCGCAUUAGCUAGUUGGUGAGGUAACGGCUCACCAAGGCGACGAUGCGUAGCCGACCUGAGAGGGUGAUCGGCCACACUGGGACUGAGACACGGCACAGACUCCUACGGGAGGCAGCAGUAGGGAAUCUUCCGCAAUGGACGAAAGUCUGACGGAGCAACGCCGCGGGAGCGAAGAAGGUCUUCGGAUCGUAAAGAUCUGUUGUCAGGGAAGAACAAGUACCGUUCGAACAGGGCGGUACCUUGACGGUACCUGACCAGAAAGCCACGGCUAACUACGUG